AUCCAGCUGAUAAGUCCCAAAUAGGACGAAAUACGUGUCUUGAAU
rfam:Schistosoma rodhaini strain Burundi genome assembly, scaffold: SROB_scaffold0011117